CACCACACUGGAGACCAAGCCUCAGUAAACAACCUUUGGGAGAUAAAUGAAAUCCAAAUCGCAGCACUUGUAUUUUUAAGUGCUCCUCCUUUAUCUGUGGUUUUGAUUUCUGCAGUUUCAGUUACCCAAGAUCAACCAUGUCCUGAAAAUAUUAAGUGGAAAAUUCUAGAAAUAAACAAUUUAUCCAGCCAGCGAAGCCAGCAGCAACCUGGUGACCAAGAGUCAUCGCCACAGAGAACAGAGAAGCUGGAGCACAGAACAUGGAGCCCGUGUGGAACUAAAAACCCCAUCCUCCCAAAGCCACAAGAUCACAAAACCACAUCCUGCCAGGUGAAAUCUAAGAGACCAAACAUAUACCCAAAAGAGACUAGACGUUUACCUAAAGAGACUGUUUAAAUUUCUGUAACUAUAUCCAAGUUUUAAUGCUCAAGGACUGAAGUCAGCUGUUUCCUGGCCCUCCAGCAGGUGGAGCCUCUGGAGGCUGUGUUUCAGACCCAUGAAGGAAGUACACCUCCUCUGCACGGCUGACUUGCAGAAUGAGUACAAAGUAGGACGUCUAGUUAACAUGACGUUUGAUGACAUCAAACCACCAUUAUAUUUUCCAUGCAUCUUCCCUGAUCUCUCCAACCAGAAGCAUUUCCUUCCUUUUCUGAAUUUUCAUAGUACAUUGGUUCUCAAAAUGUGGUUUCUGACCAUCAACAUCUGUGCCACCUGAGAACUUGUUAGAAAUGCAAAUCUUCAGGGCCACCUCACAACUACUAUAUCAGAAAUUUGAAAAGUAGAGCCCUGCAAUCUGUGUGUGUUUUGUGUGUGUGUGUGUGUGUAUGUGUGUGUGUGUUUGUAGUUGGACACAAUACUUUUAUUUCAUUUACUUAUUUUUGUGCUGAAGAUCGAACCCAGGGUGUCCCACGUGCAAGGCGAGUGCUCUACCACUGAGCCACAACCCCAGCCCUGCAAUCUGUAUUUUAACAAAUCAUUUAAACAUUCCAAUGCUUGCUAAAAUUUGAGAACCAUUGUCAUAGCACUUUGUACCUUUUUUGAGAUCUGUUACAUGCUAGCCUUGUAGUUUUAGUUUCACUGUCCUGUGGCUGUUGGGUUUGAACAUAGACUAUGUCAUAAAUGUACAAUACAGGUCCUGCUAUAGACGUCUAGACACCACUUUACCUCUGGGCUCACUGUUACUCUGGCCAACACUUUCCCCACAACUCAUAAUACUUUCAAUAUCUGUAUAAAUGAUGUUUCUCCUAUCCUGGCCUCUCAGCCUCAAUUCUCACACUCUACUUUAGCUCCUUACUCUAUGAGUACAACAUUGACCAUAAUCACAACCCAUAAUAUCAAUUUCAAGAAGCUGACUCUCUUAGCACCAUCUACAUCUUGUCUUUUUCUUGCACCCUCUAAACAGUCUCAUUCACACAGUUUUUUGACUCUGAUUGAUCACCACUAUCCCAUGGUACCCCACCUUUCACACAUCCUAUUUUCCUUUCUUACUCAGUUGGAUUAGAAUUGAUCAUCAUAAUCACUCCAGUGUACUACCUUCAACUCUCUUUGACCUCUCUUAGUCCUCUCCCUCUAUUCACCUGGUAAACUCCAAAGCUGGUUAAAUCCAGUGCUCAGCCUGCUCUACAGCUGCACUCCUGACUAAUAUUGCUGUAGGAAAAUGCAAAACCCCACACACAACCAGUCCCUUCUAAAUUUGUAACUACUGAUCCUCAAGUGGGUGUGGUGGACACAAUGCAUUCUCUUAACUUAUCCACCCUCCUAGAAGAUGACUUCACACCUUCUUCUCCAUCUCCUCCCCAAAUGACAAAUUUCCCUUCCAGUCUCAUGUUGCUGAUCAUCUUGCUUCCUAUUUCAUGGAGAAAAUAAAAACAAUUAAAACAACUUCUACAAGCAUCUGCAGCAAUACCUGUAUCAUUUUCUCUGUCUUCCACCCUGUGCUGAACUCACUCCAGCCCUAUCUAAUCCCCAUACAGAAAUUCCCUGGAAAGAAUUGUAGAUAACUUAUCUUCUAUCUCUUUCUCCUCUUUCCAUUCUAUUUUGAACCCUUUGCCUCUGCCCCCACUUAGCCCUUGAGACUCUUGUCAAGGUCACCUGUGACCUUCAUAAUGCUAUAAAUGGUCACUUAGUUCUUUCUUCCUCUUUCUUCCUCUUACUCAACUUACCAGGAGUACUUUGCACAAUUGAUGACUCUCUUCUAUAUAUUUUCUUGGCUUCCAGGACACCAUACUUUCUUGGUUUUUCCUGUGCUUCAUUAUCAGUUCUCUUUGCUGGUUCUUCCUUCUGUCUCCAACAUUUAAACAAUAAAGUGCCUAAUGGUUCAGACAUGGGACCUCUUCUCAGAUGACUGUCUCUCAUAAAUUUUCCACUUAGAACUUCAAAGUCUAUAUAUCCAAUUGUGUAGAUUUGUUUGUAUAAUAGACAGAUAUUAGCAGAAUUUGACAUAAGAUUACUCUAGCUGUGUAUGAAGAAGGGAUCCAAGGAGAACAAGAAAUUAUGUAGGGGCACUAGCGAGAAGACUAAUGUAAUAUAGUGGUCUCCUUAUCCACAGGGAAUACAUUCUGAGAUUCCCAGCAGAUGCCUGACGUUGCAGAUAAUACCAAACACUAUAUGUACAGCAAAAUGUGUUUCUUGACAUAUGUACCAAUGAAAAGUUUUAAUUUAUAAAUUAGGCACAGUCUGAGAUUAAUAGCAAUAAUAGUAAAACAGAACAAUUAUAACAAUAUGCUAUAAUAAAAAAUUGUGUGUAGUCUUUCCUUCAAAGUAUCUUAUUCACCUUUCUUCUUGUGAUAAUGUGAGAUAAUACAUGUUGACAUGAUGAGAUGAAGUGAGGUGAAUGAAAGGCACUCUGAUGUACUGUUCAGCUACUAUGUAAGGGUUAUUUGAACACAAGCACUGUGAUAUCAUGGCAGUUGAUCUGAUACCCUAAAUAACUACUCACUAAUAGAUGGGUAACAAGAGGUAAUUCAUGUCCUGAGUAGGACAGGGUAGGAGAUGUCACACUACCA